CCUGCUGCUGCUGCUGCUGCUGCUGCUGCUGCUGCUGCUGUGUCUCCUCCUGCUGCAGCAGCAGCAGCAGCAGCAGCAGCAGCACACAGACAACGUAUAUCUUCUUCAGUGCAGCAAUAUGGUAAAUUUGUUAUUAAU
rnacentral:snoRNA from 1 species